rnacentral:rRNA from 1 species
UACGUAGGGUGCAAGCGUUGUCCGGAAUUAUUGGGCGUAAAGAGCUCGUAGGCGGUUUGUCGCGUCUGCUGUGAAAACCCGAGGCUCAACCUCGGGCCUGCAGUGGGUACGGGCAGACUAGAGUGCGGUAGGGGAGAUUGGAAUACUUGGUGUAGCAGUGAAAUGCGUAGAUAUCAAGUGGAACACCAGUGGCGAAGGCGAGUCUCUGGACAUUUCCUGACGCUGAGGCACGAAAGCCAGGGGAGCAAACGGG